rnacentral:rRNA from 1 species
GACGAACGCUAGCGGGAGGCCUAACACAUGCAAGUCGAACGGGAUUGAGAGCUUGCUCUCAUGAGAGUGGCGCACGGGUGAGUAACGCGUAUGCAACCUGCCUUUAACAGAGGGAUAGCCCAUAGAAAUGUGGAUUAAUACCUCAUAGUUCUGAGAGAUCGCAUGAUUUUUCAGAUAAAGCUCCGGCGGUUAAAGAUGGGCAUGCGUGACAUUAGCUAGUUGGUGAGGUAACGGCUCACCAAGGCGACGAUGUCUAGGGGUUCUGAGAGGAUGAGCCCCCACACUGGUACUGAGACACGGACCAGACUCCUACGGGAGGCAGCAUUGAGGAAUAUUGGUCAAUGGGCGCAAGCCUGAACCAGCCAUCCCGCGUGCAGGAUGACGGCCCUAUGGGUUGUAAACUGCUUUUAUACACCAAGAAAAAUCCGAACGUGUUCGGACCCGACGGUAGUGUAUGAAUAAGCAUCGGCUAACUCCGUGCCAGCAGCCGCCGUAACAC